rnacentral:rRNA from 1 species
AUUGAACGCUGGCGGCAGGCUUAACACAUGCAAGUCGAACGGUAACAGGUCUUCGGAUGCUGACGAGUGGCGAACGGGUGAGUAAUACAUCGGAACGUGCCCGAUCGUGGGGGAUAACGAAGCGAAAGCUUUGCUAAUACCGCAUAAGAUCUAAGGAUGAAAGCAGGGGACCGCAAGGCCUUGCGCGAACGGAGCGGCCGAUGGCAGAUUAGGUAGUUGGUGGGAUAAAAGCUUACCAAGCCGACGAUCUGUAGCUGGUCUGAGAGGACGACCAGCCACACUGGGACUGAGACACGGCCCAGACUCCUACGGGAGGCAGCAGUGGGGAAUUUUGGACAAUGGGCGAAAGCCUGAUCCAGCCAUGCUGCGUGCAGGAUGAAGGCCUUCGGGUUGUAAACUGCUUUUGUACGGAACGAAAAGACUCUUUCUAAUAAAGAGGGUCCAUGACGGUACCGUAAGAAUAAGCACCGGCUAACUACGUGCCAGCAGCCGCCGUAA